rnacentral:miRNA from 2 species
UCAAUAAAUGUCUGUUGAAUU